CAUUGCUGUAUGAUAAGAACUUUGUCUAGUGCUCUUAUGAAUGUUUUAGCAUGACUUUGUGAAAGGUUAACUAAACUACAACGACCUCAUAGCUGGCUAUGGCCAUGGUUGCUUGUAAUCGAAAACAUUCUAUUCAUUUACACACAUUAAUGUGUGGCAAAACAUUUUGCAAUCAAUGUGUUUUUUGUCAUUUCUUCCAGCGCUAGAGCACAGAGCAAGUUAAAGCCAUAACCAUGCUUGUUUUUCUGCUGAUCGCAUCAAUGUUUCGCCAAGGUCUUACAGUAGUGGGCUAUGGAGACAAAUUUAUCACUGCCUUUCCAGAGAACCUUGGUUUCUUCUAUCCAUCUGAUACCAUCAACCGUCUAAGAGUCACGGCCCUUCAUGACAACACUACAUUCAACGUCGUCUACAAAACCACACAGAAAGUCUUACAAAUUCCAAAGUCAGGGCAGACCAUGAGUAUUCGGUUUCCAACGUCUGCUGAAGUAAACGAACAAGGCCCCUCGAUUUUAUCUGUCAGAAUUAGCAGUGACAAAAACAUCACAGUGGUUUCUAUAAGUCACCGGGCAGACAGCAAACAGUCCUAUGUCGUCCAGCCAACUGUAAAUCUUGGCACAAAUUAUUUGAUCCCUUUGCUGGAUUACCCAAAUUAUCUUCAAUCUUUCAACCUACCUUUGCUUGUCAGUACAACCUUAAGAUACAGCUCAUUCAAGUUACUCAUUAUCAAUGCGGUGGACAGUCAAAACAGCGUCACUAUAGUCAAGCAAACAUCAACAUCAGGUGCUCGUGAAGAGACGUUCAGUAUCGAUUCCUACGAGCUGGUCCAGCUUCAGACCAAUGGUUCUAUUUUGAGGGUCAGAUCGAGCAAAGAAGUCGCUGUGAUAUUGACCCACCCGUGUGUAGAGACUGGGAGCUGUAAUUGUAACAUGGUAAUGAAUCAGAUUCUUCCCACAAAGUUUCGGGGUCAGAGCUUUAUCGUGCCUUCCAUCUUCAAUGUGUCUACGACCAAGUUACUUAUGCUAUCAGGAAACACGUCCUCGCUAUUUCACAAUGGUAACCAGUUACAGGCUUCUCCCUCAACGCUUCUGCCAUUUUUAGACCUGCAGAAAUCCCAGCUGGUUAACGCUACGGAGCGAGUGUCCCUCAGACUUUUCAGUCCAGGCCUCAUUGUGG
rnacentral:lncRNA from 1 species